rnacentral:snRNA from 13 species
AAACUUACUUAGUGCCGGAACCAAGGUGAUCCCUUGGUCUCAGGUGGGGGCUUGCAUUUGCACUCUAGCAAGUUGAAGUCGCAACGAUCCCUAAUCGGGAUCGCUGGGGGUGCAGUUUUUGACAGUGGGGACGUCCACGGGCGAUCUCUU